rnacentral:rRNA from 1 species
CAAUAGCGUAUAUUAAAGUUGUUGCAGUUAAAAAGCUCGUAGUUGGAUUUCUGGUGGGAGCGAUCGGUCUGGCGCUUAGCGCGAGUACUUGCAUCGUCUCCGGCCAUCCUUGGGGAGAGUCUGUCUGGCAUUAGGUUGUCGGGCAGAGGAUCCUCAUCGUUUACUGUGAAAAAAUUAGAGUGUUCAAAGCAGGCUUAUGCCGUUGAAUAUAUUAGCAUGGAAUAAUAAGAUAGGACUUUGGUACUAUUUUGUUGGUUUGCGUACCAAAGUAAUGAUUAAUAGGGACAGUUGGGGGUAUUCGUAUUCCGUUGUCAGAGGUGAAAUUCUUGGAUUUACGGAAGACGAACUACUGCGAAAGCAUUUACCAAGGAUGUUUNCAUUAA